rnacentral:ncRNA from 1 species
GUGGGCCGCCUUGAAGCGCAAUUCCCACCGGGCGGCGGGUAGAAUCCUUUGCAGACGACUUAAAUACGCGACGGGGUAUUGUAAGUGGCAGAGUGGCCUUGCUGCCACGAUCCACUGAGAUUCAGCCCUCUGUUGCCGUUGGC